rnacentral:rRNA from 1 species
AACGAACGCUGGCGGCAGGCUUAACACAUGCAAGUCGAACGCCCCGCGAGGGGAGUGGCAGACGGGUGAGUAACGCGUGGGAACGUACCUUUCAGUUCGGAAUAACUCAGGGAAACUUGUGCUAAUACCGGAUGCGCCCGUAAGGGGAAAGAUUUAUCGCUGAAAGAUCGGCCCGCGUUGGAUUAGCUAGUUGGUGGGGUAAUGGCCUACCAAGGCGACGAUCCAUAGCUGGUCUGAGAGGAUGAUCAGCCACACUGGGACUGAGACACGGCCCAGACUCCUACGGAGGGCAGCAGUGGGGAAUAUUGGACAAUGGGCGAAAGCCUGAUCCAGCCAUGCCGCGUGAGUGAUGAAGGCCCUAGGGUUGUAAAGCUCUUUCACCGAUGAAGAUAAUGACGGUAGUCGGAGAAGAAGCCCCGGCUAACUUCGUGCCAGCCGCCGCCGUAA